GGUGCUUUGGGUGAGUGGUUAUACCGAGCGACUAGAAAUCGCUUGCCGAGAGGCGCGCAGGUUCGAAUCCUGCAGGCAUCG
rfam:Pseudocohnilembus persalinus scaffold2067, whole genome shotgun sequence.